rnacentral:rRNA from 1 species
UACAGAGGUCUCAAGCGUUGUUCGGAUUCAUUGGGCGUAAAGGGUGCGUAGGCGGCGCGGUAAGUCGGGGUGUGAAAUCUCGGAGCUUAACUUCGAAACUGCAUUCGAUACUGCCGUGCUUGAGGACUGGAGAGGAGACUGGAAUUUACGGUGUAGCGGUGAAAUGCGUAGAUAUCGUAAGGAAGACCAGUGGCGAAGGCGGGUCUCUGGACAGUUCCUGACGCUGAGGCACGAAGGCCAGGGGGAGCAAACGGG